GUAUAGUAUAGUGUAGUAUAGUAUAUUAUUGUAUAGUGUAGUAUAGUAUAGUAUAGUAUAUUAUUGUAUAGUGUAGUAUAGUAUAGUAUAGUAUAGUAUAGUAUAUUAUAUUAUUGUAUAGUGUAGUGUAGUAUAGUAUAGUAUAGUAUAUUGUAUAUGUAGUGUAGUAUAGUAUAGUAUAGUAUAUUAUUGUAUAGUGUAGUAUAGUAUAGUAUAGUAUAGUAUAUUGUAUAGUGUAGUAUAGUAUAGUAUACUAUAGUAUAGUAUAUUAUUGUAUAGUGUAGUCUAGCAUAGUAUAGUAUAUUAUUGUAUAGUGUAGUCUAGUAUAGUAUAGUGUAGUAUAAUAUAUUAUUGUAUAGUGUAGUGUAGUAUAGUAUAUUAUUGUAUAGUGUAGUGUAGUAUAGUAUAGUAUAGUAUAGUAUAGUAUAUUAUUGUAUAGUGUAGUGUAG
ensembl:lncRNA